ACAAGUAGAAAUGAUGAAGCCUA
rnacentral:piRNA from 1 species